AGAGUUGAAUGCAUUUCUCUGUGUUGUGGCUGUGGUCACGAUGGUAGAGGCAGAACUUGUUAGGAUUGCGCUUCCCAAGGUGUGUGCGCAUCCUUUCUGACCUUGGGAGCUGCUCUCUGACUUCCAUCAGCACCUGGGUUUUCAAUGCGUUGAGGGGGGCGUAGCUGCGAAAUCUUCCUGGGGGAGAGCCCCACCGAACCCUGCACUCCGGGCUUCUCUGCCUGCAUGCUCGGGGAGAAGUCUGGGUGCGCUUGUACCC
rnacentral:lncRNA from 1 species